rnacentral:tRNA from 1 species
GGCGACAUGGCCGAGCGGUCUAAGGCGCUAGAAUCAGGCAGCUGUCUUAUCUAGUCCGAAAGGGCGUGGGUUCGAAUCCCACUGUCGUCA